CCCCGGGCCACACACUUCUUCAUAUGCCCAUAGGGAGCUGCCCGAACUAUGGAAUGUUAAGAAGUGUGUGUUCUUGGG
rnacentral:pre_miRNA from 13 species